rnacentral:misc_RNA from 1 species
UUUGUAUGCAAGAGCCAUCCUCCUCAAAUGGCGUCCAUCAAUCUGAUCAAGAUCAUCGCCAGAACUAGUGAUUAUCAUUAACUGAAUCAGUCCAUUAGCAAGUAUGUCACCGGCAUGAGGCCGCCCCUCGUGCAGCUUCAGCACUCGCUCAACAGGAAGGCCUUCCAAUUCAAGAACAUGGGCAGUUCCAGAAGUUGCAGUGAUGCUGAAUCCAAG